CUCACCCGUCGGAAAGGUUUAGAAAGUUAGCUAGGUUUCACUGCUCGUGCCUCGAGCACCACGGCGGCGGCGGCAGCGGGACUGUUCUGGCCGACGACGGCAUCGAUGACGACGAGGAGUGUUAAAACAGCUCGUUGUUUUGGGAUUUGCCGCCUCAAGUUUCAUCUAGCUACCUCCAACAAACCCUUCAAUCUCCAUGGCUACAUCGAUAUCAACUCAAUAUACUAACGAGGAGGAAAUUAAAAGGAAGAGAAAGAAGCGAAAGAGAGUUGUUGUAUUAGCCUAGUGUACAAUAAAGACCAAGCAAAUGGAGAGGGUGCUAAAACAGCAGCUGAAAGUUCAAAGGAAAUGGGAAAAGAGAAUGAUAUCGGAGGCAAGGAUGCUCCAUAUUCUGUAUCUUCCUCGAGUAGUUUAAAAAGACAAAGAUCAGAUGAUUCAUUUAACUCUAUAUGGUGUGAUAAGUUUGACAUGUAUCUGCAUUGAAAGAUGAUGGUCCAAAGCUACCCUCUUCCGCCGAAGUUCUCGCCACAUUACAAGAGGUUGAGGGACUUGAUGAAGACACAGAACUUGAGCUUUAUGACAUCCUCACCUCUAAUGCACGCAAGUUUGAGUCGAUGAUGGCACUCCCAAUGGAAAGGAGGAAGAGGUGGCUUAUGAUGCAGCUAAGGAAGUGAAACAACUUAUAUGUGAACUUAGAUCUCUGUGUUGAACUGAUUGUGUGAACUUGUCUUUGUGAAACUUUUGUGUGCGAACUUGAUGGCUAUGUGAAACUGUUGUGUGUGAACUUGGUGGCUUUAUGAAACUGCUAUGUGAA